rnacentral:rRNA from 1 species
UACUCCUACGGGAGGCAGCAGUAGGGAAUCUUCCACCAAUGGGCGAAAGCUGAUGGAGCAACGCCGCGUGGUGUGAUGAAGAGUUUCGGCUCGUAAAACACUGUUGUAAGAGAAGAAUGACAUUGAGAGUAACUGUUCAAUGUGUGACGGUAUCCUACCAGAAAGGAACGGCUAAAUACGUGCCAGCAGCCGCGGUAAUACGUAUGUUCCAAGCGUUAUCCGGAUUUAUUGGGCGUAAAGCGAGCGCAGACGGUUAUUUAAGUCUGAAGUGAAAGCCCUCAGCUCAACUGAGGAAUUGCUUUGGAAACUGGAUGACUUGAGUGCAGUAGAGGAAAGUGGAACUCCAUGUGUAGCGGUGAAAUGCGUAGAUAUAUGGAAGAACACCAGUGGCGAAGGCGGCUUUCUGGACUGUAACUGACGUUGAGGCUCGAAAGUGUGGGUAGCAAACAGGAUUAGAUACCCUGGUAGUCCACACCGUAAACGAUGAGUGCUAGGUGUUUGAGGGUUUCCGCCCUUAAGUGCCGCAGCUAACGCAUUAAGCACUCCGCCUGGGGAGUACGACCGCAAGGUUGAAACUCAAAGGAAUUGACGGGGACCCGCACAAGCGGUGGAGCAUGUGGUUUAAUUCGAAGCAACGCGAAGAACCUUACCAGGUCUUGACAUCCCUUGACAACUCCAGAGAUGGAGCGUUCCCUUCGGGGACAAGGUGACAGGUGGUGCAUGGUUGUCGUCAGCUCGUGUCGUGAGAUGUUGGGUUAAGUCCCGCAACGAGCGCAACCCUUAUUACUAGUUGCCAGCAUUCAGUUGGGCACUCUAGUGAGACUGCCGGUGACAAACCGGAGGAAGGUGGGGAUGACGUCAAAUCAUCAUGCCCCUUAUGACCUGGGCUACACACGUGCUACAAUGGCGUAUACAACGAGUUGCCAACCCGCGAGGGUGAGCUAAUCUCUUAAAGUACGUCUCAGUUCGGAUUGUAGGCUGCAACUCGCCUACAUGAAGUCGGAAUCGCUAGUAAUCGCGGAUCAGCACGCCGCGGUGAAUACGUUCCCGGGUCUUGUACACACCGCCCGUCACACCAUGAGAGUUUGUAACACCCAAAGCCGGUGGGGUAACCUUCGGGAGCCAGCCGUCUAAGGGGAACCAGAGU